CGAAAAUUUUCCCUUGUGAAUUCAAAUGAACUGUUCAUCAACUAAUGCUUGUGCUGUUUGGAAUCCUAAAUCAGCAAUCCAGUGAAGUCAACAGGCUGCU